ACAGAAGGCAGCUCCUAUUAAACUCAUUACGACGUUUCUUCUCUUGGAUAACAUUUGCAGCAGGAACGUAUCCACCAUUUUCGAACCUUUGGGGGCCACAGUUCGUCUACGAUUACGAAGUUUUAACAAAUGGCUAGAACUGACACAAAACAUAACAACACGAGGACUGAAAAUGACUAAAGGAACCAUAAAAUGCAAUUGAGGAGAUUUUUCUUGGCUGAGCAAACACGGGUUAAAGUCCCUGUGGUAGGCGGAAACGUCCGGAGUAACUACAAGUAUACGAUUUUUUCAGCCUUCACAAUUAUGUAACCGCAACCUUUGAAACCACUCCUUUAAAAAGCAACCAUAAUAGCCUUUCCAACAGACAUACGUGAAAGCCGCUUUUCUUUAACAAGUGUUCUUUUAAGGUAAACACAAGUAAAAAUGAACCAAAUCAUCUGAGACGACAUCAAUUUUUCGUUCUAAACAAUCACACAAGAAUGCAACUUGCAACCCCACCAGUUGAGGAAUGCUAAGAUUCAAUUUUGAGAAAAGAAGAAACACCUGUGAAAAUCUCAAUAACACAAGCUAGUCGUUUAUCAGAGACAUAUCGCUAUGCGGAUAUGCUAGCUUUAUUUCCUGAGGCGAAACGUACCGCUCUCGCUCACGAUAUCCUUGCGUUGCGGCGAUAACAGCAAGCCAAAAGUAAAAAGCCGAAGCUGCGCAGGAAAUGAAGAUCGAUGAAAAAAAGAAAUAAAGCAAGAGCAUUUUUAUCGUUAUGGAGCAGAUUUACCUAUCACGAUAAGCAUGAGGACGCAAAGGAGUAUUGAAUUCGCUAGGUGUUACAAUCCAUUUGUUUCUUGCUGACGAGGAUUGAGCAACACCAGACUAAGAAAACAAAUGCGGUAAAAAAGAGGAGCUGCCUGAAAAAUUCGGCUAUUGUCCACAGCAUGAGAAUACGCCAAGAUUCCUACAUGCGAAAACGAUUGGAAAGUUUGAAUCUGCAACCAAGACAAAACACAUGAAUCGCCAAAACCGACCUUCACCGCGCCAAUAAACAGGAGCAGACACAGUAAAAAAUAGAGUGAAUUGAGUACAAUACUCGCCAUUAUCACGUUACGCAUGGCUGCAAAAUCAACAAUGGAACACAGUUUACUACAUCGUACUUGUCGUUGGCUGGCUCGUCACGUACGAUGGAAGCCAAAAACGGUAUCAAACUUUUAUUGAAGUAAGCCAGUAGCAAACCCAGCCCAAGCAAAACAAGUCCAGUGAAAAGCUAGGCAGCGAUCAACAAACUACCCGUACGCGGACUGCAGCAGCAACAAGAUCGCAUUACGGCCAUUUUCCUUUGAAUUUAAUUUCAAUGAAAUGACCGUACAACUGAUACCUACAAAGCUCUGCGGCGAAAUGCGUAUUACGUACUUUGAUAAGGUACAUAAAACUGCUGUAGCAGGCAUGCCAUAUUUGAUUGAUAGCAUGAGCAUAUACUCUAGAGGAAGUGUUAGCAGCGAACGUCACGUUUAGAUACGGGCAUGGCAUGAACACCAACGGUGAAGUACGUAAUUGAAAAAGAAGAGUGCAAUACGCGUAUGAGGCAUCAUAUACUUCAGACUGCACUGGAAACAAUAAAUGUAAGGAGUUCUUUCAUA